rnacentral:rRNA from 1 species
AGCUUGCUCCCUGAUGUUAGCGGCGGACGGGUGAGUAACACGUGGGUAACCUGCCUGUAAGACUGGGAUAACUCCGGGAAACCGGGGCUAAUACCGGAUGGUUGUCUGAACCGCAUGGUUCAGACAUAAAAGGUGGCUUCGGCUACCACUUACAGAUGGACCCGCGGCGCAUUAGCUAGUUGGUGAGGUAACGGCUCACCAAGGCGACGAUGCGUAGCCGACCUGAGAGGGUGAUCGGCCACACUGGGACUGAGACACGGCCCAGACUCCUACGGGAGGCAGCAGUAGGGAAUCUUCCGCAAUGGACGAAAGUCUGACGGAGCAACGCCGCGUGAGUGAUGAAGGUUUUCGGAUCGUAAAGCUCUGUUGUUAGGGAAGAACAAGUGCCGUUCAAAUAGGGCGGCACCUUGACGGUACCUAACCAGAAAGCCACGGCUAACUACGUGCCAGCAGCCGCGGUAAUACGUAGGUGGCAAGCGUUGUCCGGAAUUAUUGGGCGUAAAGGGCUCGCAGGCGGUUUCUUAAGUCUGAUGUG